UACAGAGGUCUCGAGCGUUAGGCGGAAUCACUGGGCUUAAAGCGUGUGUAGGUGGAUGCCUAAGUACCUUGUGAAAUCCCACAGCUUAACUGUGGAACUGCUUGGUAUACUGGGUGUCUUGAGUCACUCAGGGGCGAGCGGAGCAAAUGGUGGAGCGGUGAAAUGCGUAGAUAUCAUUUGGAACGCCAAUGGUGAAAACAGCUCGCUGGGGUGCACUGACACUGGAGACACGAAAGCCAGGGAGCGAACGGGAUUAGAGUACCCA
rnacentral:rRNA from 1 species